AUCCGUCAAUGUAAAGGCUGCAAAGAGAAAACAUGCAAUUUGCAGGAUGGUGAGACAUUCAUGUUGAAGUUUAUUUUACCUCCGUUAACCUCUACGCCCGUUAAUUUUAUUUUCCCGUUGAUGCGAAAGUCAACUGGUGGUAAAGUCGAAUUAGGCAAUCUUCAGUUCCAGUAUUCUUUCAUUAGAAAUUGGUGUGGCAUUCCAAAUCGUUCCACACAUGUGCAGUGGAUUGUUGACAUUUAUGGGUCGAAUGCUAAUGGGUUGGCAUUGAACUCGGACAUGACUUGGCGUUUGGCAAAGUUUCUCGAAGACAAAACCAAUAAUGAAAAGUUUUAACCCAUGAGCCAUUUUCUUCCUCAGAUACGGGCAACCAUGAGAAUGAACUUGGACAGCGUAACAAUUGCUGUACCCACUAUGGCAACUUUUGGUGUGAAGACCAGCAAUUUGGAGCACUUUCUUGAUGAAGCGAGGCAGUU